UAUAAGGGAGUUUGAGUUUUUGCUUGUAAUGUUUGACCACUCGUCUUAUUCAAAAUUUUUUGAAAUUAUUAAUUACUUUAUAUGUGACUUACUUUAUUAUCUAUAGUACUUUAAGCACAACUUUUCGUUUUUUAUAUUUGCAAAAAAAAAAAAAUAAAUAAGACGAGUGGUCAAACGUUGCAAGCAAAAACUGAAAAUCCCUUAUA
rnacentral:pre_miRNA from 1 species